rnacentral:rRNA from 1 species
GACGAACGCUGGCGGCGUGCUUAACACAUGCAAGUCGAGCGGUAAGGCCCUUUCGGGGGGUACACGAGCGGCGAACGGGUGAGUAACACGUGGGUGACCUGCCCUUAGCUCUGGGAUAAGCCUGGGAAACUGGGUCUAAUACCGGAUAUGACUCCAUAACGCAUGUUGUGGGGUGGAAAGCCUUGUGUGGCUAGGGAUGGGCCCGCGGCCUAUCAGCUUGUUGGUGGGGUGAUGGCCACCAAGGCGACGACGGGUAGCCGGCCUGAGAGGGCGACCGGCCACACUGGGACUGAGACACGGCCCAGACUCCUACGGGAGGCAGCAGUGGGGAAUCUUGCGCAAUGGGCGAAAGCCUGACGCAGCGACGCCGC